UUUUUUGCCCAAAUCCAACAUUAUUUAGAUUAUUUGUUAUCCAGUACAAAAAAACACUUUCUCAGUUUACUAGAUUAACAUAAUUUUACUUUUAUAACCCCUAGCGUUUAUCUAUCAAAAUUAAUGUACAGAGUAUUGCUCUAUGUUCCUUGCUGUUUGUCAUUUUUGGUUUUUAAAUAAAGAUUUGUCCAAAAAAUCUGACAGCGUAACCUUUUCCCCGGAAGUACAAAUUGUAAACACGGGGUGUCUUUAAUGCUAGGUUACGUCCUACCAAGCUAGAAAAAUGUCGAAAAAUAUAAGAAUAGCGCUGAUUUUCGGGGGUUUUAUAACAACAGUCGCCGCUGCUUUAUAUCCUAUUUUCGUCUAUCCUCUGACGCACAGAGACGAGUACAGACAAACUCAGAGGAUAAAUCGGUCCGGAAUAAACCAGGAAGAUGUGCAGCCUGUGGGUCUAAAAGUUUGGUCUGAUCCCUUCAAGCCUGCUGAGAAGUAAUAAGCUCCUCCCUCCUCGCCGCCCUCCGGCGCUCCCGGACAGGAAGACCAGGGAGCCAAAAAACUUUUCUGAUAAAUGUGUGAGUGUGUGUGUGCGUGUGUGCACGUGUGCGUGUGUGCGUGGCUUAUGUCAUGAGUGUUUGCUGAAAACUUUUUGAACUGAAUAAACUUCAAGAACUUAUGAAAACGUUCAUACUUUGUUUUACAUUUCUUUAAGACAUGACAUUUUUUUUCCUGCUAUUAGAUUAUAAAAGAAAUCUUUUAAGGUGGAAUUAGUUGUUAAGCACUUUGUGUCCACAGGGGGGCGCUGCAUGCCUGCAAAGUGUUUCAGAGAGCUCCCAGCAGCUGCAGGAUUUAUUUUGGAAAACGGCUUCUGAAAAGUGUCACUCGGGUAUGCGGCCUGUAGGAAGUUCUUCUGAAAGAUUCCUCAAUAGACAGCUCAACGGCUGCAUGAGUGAAGUAAGCAACCAGAGGGGAAGCUGCAGCGAGCGGUUAAAGGAAGAGAACCGCAUUCUUCAGGGGGAGCGUCACCCGCACAUAGAAUGGAGAGACACUCAAUCUCUGUUUCUGUGCUGGUCUGCGUGGAGCAGGUUUGUGCAACAACCCCCCCCCCCCCCCUUUUUUUUGAGCAUUUCAUUCAGGCCCCAGCUCUAUUUCACACACAAAUUUCAAUGUGCUUUUUCCUUGAAGAGGGGCCUCAAGUUGAGGCCUCGCUCUGCAGAUAGUAGACACCCGUGUCUAUAAAACAUUCAGUAGGGCCGCCGCACGCCGUGAACCAAACACAGACGCUCUGCCGCACUUUUACUGCAUCGCCGUUAACCUAUCACACAAAUCUCUGCGCUCCAUUGAGGAGGAUUUGCAAGGAGGCGUUCACCUUUUGUCACUUUGUUUAGCUGAAAUAAUUGACCCGAGGUUCUGACUAAUUAUCUGUAAAGCAGGAGCCGACUACAGACAGAUCAGCUCUGACGUCAUCCAUAGGGCCAGAACUGUUGACGGUAUACGAAAACUGGACUGAUGACCCCUCCCCCUUUGUAUUCCAAACAGAAAACACCCCCUGGCUCCCAGAGGCCUUCUAGUUCUAGGAAAUUUCGGUCUUUUGUGUGUUUUAUACGUCAUUCACGUUUUUCUUGCGUUCUUCAUUCGUCGAUGUGCACUUAUGUCCGUCGAGAGUUCCGGCCGAAAGGUCUUUACAGGAAUUUGAUUUUGAGUUGCUCCUAUUUUUUGGUCGGUUGAGAAUUACGCAGGGUACGCGUAUUUUACGUGGUUACAAUUAUUACGCAAAUCUUGAGCAAUUGAGCGCGAUUUACGCGUAUGUCUAACGGACUUUUCACGCAUGUACCACCAAUGUCUAACUUUUUUUCUCACGGAUACGGGGCACACAUCACGUAAACAUUCUGUCAUCGACACACAAAUCACUAACGAAUUGCAUUUAAACAGCUCAAAAUCCCACGCCGUUCAAGCUCUACAUUGAUUUACGUGUUCCUCUUCGGAUUCAUUCGUAAUUCUUCCGUAGUUUUAAAGUGGUUCAUUUGUGAUACAUUUGUGAAAAUUUCUUGUAAAGACCAUAACUUUUCUCACUUUUUUCCACGCAUAUUCAAAUAUGACCAAUUUUCAUCCGUGCACUAUGCGCAAAAAUGUACAUAAUGGAAUUUUUGCAUUCUUGCUAAGGGGCCUGUUUUUGCAGUGCACUGUUCUGAGUCAAAGAAAACAAAAUCUUUUUCUCUGAACUAGACCACUCUCCAUUCACAAAUAAACAAAAAAAACAUUUAGAGUACAAAAAAAUGACUUGUUUCAUUACAAAUAAAAUAUGUUUUUUAAAAUCAAAUGACUCAACAAGAUGGUCAAGAUUUAUUGUCCCACACCUUAUUGAAAAGUUAAGUUUAGUUUCAUAUCAAGUGUAGUAAAACAUUCAAACUAGAACCCAGACCAAAAUAUUUGGGGAUAUUUUGUUUCUUUGCAGUGUAAAUGUGCUUUUCUUCAUUUCUGUCCUUAAGAGCAUCAUAUCUUUUUGAUAUCUGGAUCCGAGAUUUCCCGCCGUUCCAGAUUAGUCUGGAAUUUUCUUUUGCGAAGCUUAACAUCGCCCCUUUAUAGUCAGUCUGUGAAAAUGCCCACAGUGUGGUUUCAUUCCCAGCUGUCAUUAGAAACUAUCUGUCUGGAUUUACGGCGCAGGAAGCUGUAAACAUAGCAGGUUAGGAAGUUGUAAACAUGAGCAACAAUUUCCUGUAUUUGCUACCGAACGGAGUAAACCAAACAAGGAAGCCAUCAGUUUGUCAAAUUUAGCGGUACUGACUAAUAAAGCAAAGACAGCUGCAAAAACAAGCAAAAGUUUAGCUAACUUUAAGUGUUUUUCAAAGAUCUGUUGUGUGUUGACUUUGUUUUGAGACCCAAAUGAGAUGCAGAUGCUUGUAACUGAAAGGAAAUGAUAUAUUUUGGGUAAAUCCUUUGAAAAUGGGGGGACAAUAUAGACUCUACUACAAAGAGGUGGAAAGGACAUGUUUUGACUUGAUGACAUCUAGUGGUUAAGUUGUAGAUUGCAGUCAAAUUCAGUGACGGGUAGGGAUGGGUACCGUGCCCCGGUAUUGAACCAGCCCCGGGGCCACAUUCUGCAAGACCGC
ensembl:lncRNA